GCUGUGGUUCAAUGGCUGAAUAUCUGCUUGGCAUGCAGGAAAUCCUAGAUUUAAUCCCCAGCAUCUCCA
rnacentral:tRNA from 1 species